rnacentral:tRNA from 2 species
GGGCCCGUAGCUCAGCCUGGCGGAGCAGGCUCACCUUCGAGACCGGGCUCAUAACCCGGGGGUCGCCGGUUCAAAUCCGGCCGGGCCCACCA